rnacentral:lncRNA from 1 species
UCCAAAACUGGAGACACUGGUGAUGGUGCUAUUGUGUCACAACUGGGUUCCGGGGCACCGAGGCCUGGGCGCAAAACGAAUGUCACAUCUUUACUGUAUAAUAGGAGUUCUGUACAAACUAAAUAAAUAAUUACAUCAUAAGGAGACAACGAUCCAGCAACCCAAAGUUGACUGGGAGACGACGACCUAGACCUCUCACGAACUCAUCACAACAUUCUCCAUGCGCCUCACCCUGCAGUACCUGUUCUUGACCUGUGGGGGGUGUGAGACAGCAAGAGUGAGCUCACAUACGUUCAUCGCUCAACAAGUUGUGGGGAAUAAUGUGUAUGAACUUGCCAAAGGUGGGAGCUCAUGUGAAGUGUAAGGUUUACCAAAGAGGAUGGUUAAAGCUGAGCAUUGCUUUUAAAGUUGGUCAAAAUUUUAUUAGAAAUUACUAAGUAUAAGUAGAUACCAACCCAAUUAAGUAGUAGAACAAAAGUGAUAACAACACCUGCGAAGCAAUGCAUAUGCCAAAUUGAAUUUAGUUCCAUAAAUUACUCAUGUGAGGGUCCGAGCUGCUUAUGACCUUGAGCACGACUGAUAUACCGGUUUUACACUCUGCAGAGGUUGCACAUCUUUACCCACAAGUCAUGUUACCCAUCUGCCAAGGGAUCGCGACUUCCCAUACACCUCUACCGAGGAGGCGAGGCAGGGUAACACUACGAGGCCUUUACAAAGUUCCACAAGCUUCAGGAAAUCCGCUACAAUUUCUAGGAAGCUCCAAUGCAGGGACCCUUCGCCUGAUUGCCAUCGCAGCAAAAUGAACCCAAGGUCCUCCCUACACUGAUCACUCCCCUACUGCCCUUGCCCCUUUCGGGUAAGGUAGUCCUCCACUAGCUUUCCUAAUUAGUCAGCCAAGGGCGUCCUAUACCAUCCUUGUGGUAGCACUGUUUUCCCGGGUGGUCGCUCCAUGUUCCAAUUAACAUAAUGAUCUUAUCGUCAACAGUAAAUAACAAACUGAUAAUAAAAGUAUGAUCAUGAAUAAUGUGUAUCUCCAUACCCAAAACCACAUAAAGCAAUAGCAUGUACUACCUAAAAAUUCAGUGGUAAACAAGGUAUAAAGAUAGCCAAACUAGGGUAACCUAUUGGGUCCCAUCAAAAUUAACCUAUGUAGAUCAUUAUGAUUAAUAAGAACAUGAUUGGGUAAAAAGAAGUGAUCAAAGGCACAACUUGCCUAGACUCGACAUAAUCUUGUUGUCCAGAUGCUACCCAAAAGUUGGGCGUUAGGUUCCUCGUCACCUCGCCUCUACUCGUAACAAUACGUAAAAUCAAGCAAAUAAUGGACAUAGUAACAUUACACCAAAGCAUAAGAAUAAUCUGUGUGGGAGUAUUCUACGCGUGGUUACGAGGUCGUAGGUUCAAGAACUACUAAAUUCGGAGUUAAAACGAAGAACUUAUGAAUAACACGACAUUUUAGGUACAAUAAAUCUAAUAGAUGGGACCUAACAGAUAUUGCAUUUAACUAAGCAGAUAUUAAAUUCAAAUAAUUCAGUUGGUAUUAAUAACUUUAACAAUUAUUUAUAAAAUAUGUAGGUUACAACUAUAAAUUAGAUUAACUAGAUUGUUUAGCUAAUUAACAUUAAUCAAAUAAAUUAUUAAUUAAUUAUCUAAAACAUGUGGUAUGAUUAAAACAAUGGUAUUGCUAUGUACGCAAAAAUAAAUAUGAACCUAACACAACUUGAAUGAAAUAAAUCAGACGUCUAACACAAAAUAUAUCACAUGUUUAAUAAAUUAGUAGGACUGCACAAAAAUAGUUGACUUAACGCGAUCUGAUUGGCUAGAUCGGGGUCAUAUAAAGAAUUAUAUUAAGGCGGUAAGGGGUAGGCUGCCAUUUCGUGUUCUGCCAUUUCUAUUCUCCGCACUGUCUUUCUCAUCCCCCCUCCCCGCAAAUCCCAUUCCCAUUCCCACGUGCAUCCCACGCCUAGCUAAAAUUAAAUUAAAAAAACACAAAUGUGGCUCCAAUGGGAUUCGAACGUGCGACCUCUCAAGAAAAUAUGCUCGUAGCUACCACUACACCACAUGUGUGUUUAUGUCAAUAUUUGUUACAGUAAAAAUAUAUACUACAUCUCUCCCAAAGCCCACCUGCUACCUUUGCACAAUGUGUAGUAAUAGAUAAUUAUCAACGAGAUUCCUGAAUUAUAUUUUUGGAUAGAGGGAGUAGUAUUUAAAAAAUAGCCUUGCAUGCAAUUUCUUUUGUUUGAAUAAUGUUUUCAACUUAAAUUCUUUUUUAUAUGUGUGACAUUUAUUCUCCGUAAUAUUUUUCCAUGGCUCUGACUUGUGAGUCAUUUUUAUAAACCAAUGCCAAAUAUGAAUCCAUGUUUCUUACUUGGAAACCCUGAACAAACACCACUGCCAGGAGGCGCUCGCGUUGGCGUCGCUCAUCGACGACGAAAAGAAGCUUGUUGACUGUCAGUUCGACCUCUGGAAGCAGUACUACGUGACCGCAUGCAUCGCUGUGUUCGACAAUCUCCGACGCAGUCGCCGCUUGGACGCGGUCCAGAGCGGCUGCACCGCGCUGUCCAUAUUCAAAUAGGGGGACCUCAUGGUCAUCGCCAACGCUGGCGACUCUCGGGUUGUUCUGGGCACCGCAUCCGACAACGGCGCCGUCACACCGUCCAGCUCAUCAUCCACAUGAAGCUCAACCUCCCACGUAAGUCACUACUGACCGGCCAUGAAUUCUUGUGUGCUGGGACGACGGUCGUUGCUGACGUUGUGUGAGUGUCCUCGAACAAGAUUUAUGUAGAGGAGUAGCACAUCCGGUGGUGCAACGGCUAGGUGUACUACCUCGCUGAUGAGCCCGGGGUGCACUUCGUUUGGCAGCCCAACCAAGAGUCAUCGGUACUCGCCAAGUCGUGCACGUUCGACGACUACUAUAUCAAGGACUAUGACGUCAUCUUGGCACCAGAGGUGACACAGAGUAGGACCGACAACAAUGACCACUCGCCAUCGUCGAGGUAGCUUUUGUGCUGGCCUGCCUUUAAUUCUCUUCGCAAACACAUACACUUGCUUUUUUGUUUAAGCAAGCGUGCAUGGUGGUGCGUACCUGAUGACUGACAAUGUACGAGGGAACUUAUACCGGCAGGUGUGACACGUGCUCUUCAAUGAUGAGAUCAUGCAAAUCGUGACAUAUAUCGAAGUCUGCAUGAUACUGAUGGUUGCAAUGGAAUAGUGAAACAGCUAAAUUAAAAUAACAAAAAUUAUGUAUGGCUAGGAUUACAAAUGGAUUAUGAAAUAUUUUUUAUAACAAUAUAAGACACAUUUUAUAUAUAAGUUAUUAUGUUAUUAUAUGUUCCCGUUGCAACGCACGGGUACUCACAUAGUAAAGAAUUAUGAGGUAAAUAAAGUAAUAUAUGAGAUCUAGGUGUGGCCAUUUUCUACAUUCCUCCCUCAUAGUAUGAUUCUUACCGGCUUAUAGUGGCGGGAUUGUGUCUGACCACAUGACCCGUCGACUUCAGGGUGGAUCCAUUCCUCCGACGAGCAAUGCCACGGUUCCCCGAUGAUGUUCCCUCACGGAGAGGUUGCAGACAUGCACGGUGUAUACCAUCGACCACCCCCGCCCGCAUGCUGGGCGUAGAUCAAUGACAUAGUCGAAUCUCCGGUACGAUGCUCCCCUUCUCUCUCCCAGUUUUCGCUCGAGAACAACGUCAUCUAAUCUCUAUUGGUG